rnacentral:rRNA from 1 species
ACKGCUCAGUAACACGUGGAUAAUCUACCCUGUGGUGGGGGAUAACCCCGGGAAACUGGGGAUAAUACCCCAUAGACUAUGGAAGCUGGAAUGCUCUGUAGCCGAAAGGUCCGCCGCCACAGGAUGAGUCUGCGGCCGAUUAGGUUGUUGUUGGGGUAACGGCCCAACAAGCCUGUAAUCGGUACGGGUUGUGGGAGCAAGAGCCCGGAGAUGGAUUCUGAGACACGAAUCCAGGCCCUACGGGGCGCAGCAGGCGCGAAAACUUUGCAAUGCGGGAAACCGUGACAAGGGAACUCCGAGUGCCCGUAAAUUCGGGCUGUCCAUCAGUUUAAAUAACUGGUGAAGAAAGGGCCGGGCAAGACCGGUGCCAGCCGCCGCGGUAAUACCGGCGGCUCGAGUGGUGGCCACUAUUACUGGGCUUAAAGCGUCCGUAGCUGGUCUGUUAAGUCUCUGGGGAAAUCUACCGGCUUAACCGGUAGGCGUCUCAGGGAUACUGGCAGACUAGGGACCGGGAGAGGUGAGGGGUACUCCAGGGGUAGGAGUGAAAUCCUGUAAUCCUUGGGGGACCACCUGUGGCGAAGGCGCCUCACCAGAACGGCUCCGACAGUGAGGGACGAAAGCUGGGGGAGCAAACCGGAUUAGAUACCCGGGUAGUCCCAGCUGUAAACGAUGCGCGUUAGGUGCAUCGGUGACCACGAGUCACCGAGGUGCCGAAGGGAAACCGUGAAACGUGCCGCCUGGGAAGUACGGUCGCAAGGCUGAAACUUAAAGGAAUUGGCGGGGGAGCAC